GAUGAACGCUAGCGGCAGGCUUAACACAUGCAAGUCGAGGGGCAGCAUGACGGAACCUUCGGGUUUGUUGAUGGCGACCGGCGCAAGGGUGCGUAACGCGUGAGCAACUUGCCCGUUUCAGGGGGAUAACCGGUGGAAACGCCGACUAAUACCCCAUGGCAUCAUAUUAAGGCAUCUUUAUAUGAUUAAAGAAUUUCGGAAACGGAUAGGCUCGCGUGACAUUAGCUAGAUGGCGGGGUAACGGCCCACCAUGGCGACGAUGUCUAGGGGUUCUGAGAGGAAGGUCCCCCACACUGGAACUGAGACACGGUCCAGACUCCUACGGGAGGCAGCAGUGAGGAAUAUUGGUCAAUGGCCGGGAGGCUGAACCAGCCAUGCCGCGUGAAGGUCACGGCCCUAUGGGUCUUAAACUUCUUUUGUAAGGGAGCAAUAAGGUUCACGUGUGGACUGAUGAGAGUACCUUACGAAUAAGCAUCGGCUAACUCCGUG
rnacentral:rRNA from 1 species